GGAAAAUGCAGCUGAAACUUAAAAAGAUUUGACUGGAAGCAGCGGUCCAGAUGUAGAGUUUUGGAAGUGUGGCAGAACAAAAUUGAGAACGUCUUUGAGAUCCAGCUUCCGCAAACCACUUUUCGCACUUUUUAAAAGCGAAAGUAAGGGAAUAAAACUGCUCAAAUCUUUGGAAAGCCACGCUGAAGAGAUACAAUCAACUUUAAUUUGGCUUGCGAUACAUUCAAUGUUGGUGCGACAGCAAUGACAAAAAAGGACGGCGGGAGCAUGAACGCGAAGAACACCA